rnacentral:rRNA from 1 species
UACGGAAGGCAGCAGUGGGGAAUAUUGCACAAUGGGCGCAAGCCUGAUGCAGCCAUGCCGCGUGUAUGAAAAAGGCCUUCGGGUUGUAAAGUACUUUCAGUCGUGAGGAAGGUGUUAAGGUUAAUAACCUUAGCAAUUGACGUUAGCGACAGAAGAAGCACCGGCUAACUCCGUGCCAGCAGCCGCGGUAAUACGGAGGGUGCGAGCGUUAAUCGGAAUUACUGGGCGUAAAGGGCACGCAGGCGGUUAAUUAAGUUGGAUGUGAAAUCCCCGGGCUUAACCUGGGAAUGGCAUUCAAGACUGGUUAGCUAGAGUCUUGUAGAGGGGGGUUAGAAUUCCAUGUGUAGCGGUGAAAUGCGUAGAGAUGUGGAGGAAUACCGGUGGCGAAGGCGGCCCCUGGACAAAGACUGACGCUCAUGUGCGAAAGCGUGGGGAGCAAACAGGGAUUAGAUACCCGU